AUUGAACGCUGGCGGCAUGCUUUACACAUGCAAGUCGAACGGUAACAGGCCGCAAGGUGCUGACGAGUGGCGAACGGGUGAGUAAUGCAUCGGAACGUGCCCAGUCGUGGGGGAUAACUACUCGAAAGAGUAGCUAAUACCGCAUACGAUCUAUGGAUGAAAGCGGGGGACCGUAAGGCCUCGCGCGAUUGGAGCGGCCGAUGUCAGAUUAGGUAGUUGGUGGGGUAAAGGCUCACCAAGCCAACGAUCUGUAGCUGGUCUGAGAGGACGACCAGCCACACGGGGACUGGGACACGGCCCAGACUCCUACGGGAGGCAGCAGUGGGGAAUUUUGGACAAUGGGCGCAAGCCUGAUCCAGCAAUGCCGCGUGCAGGAAGAAGGCCUUGGGGUUGUAAACUGCUUUUGUACGGAACGAAACGGCUCUGGUUAAUACCCGGGGCUAAUGACGGUACCGUAAGAAUAAGCACCGGCUAACUACGUG
rnacentral:rRNA from 1 species